rnacentral:rRNA from 1 species
AUACGUAGGGGGCAAGCGUUAUCCGGAUUUACUGGGUGUAAAGGGAGCGUAGACGGCACUGCAAGUCUGGGGUUUGAAAGCCCGGGGCUCAACCCCGGGACUGCUUUGGAAACUGUGGUGCUAGAGUGCAGGAGAGGUAAGUGGAAUUCCUAGUGUAGCGGUGAAAUGCGUAGAUAUUAGGAGGAACACCAGUGGCGAAGGCGGCUUACUGGACUGUAACUGACGUUGAGGCUCGAAAGCGUGGGGAGC